rnacentral:lncRNA from 1 species
GUCAGGUCUGUGGUAUGACUCAGGCUAGUAUUUUAGCUUGGCUCUGUUUAAAAUAUGAUGACAUGAUGUCUUAAACACAAAUGAUGUUGUUUCUUCCUCUUAUUAAGUGCACCUUCUAAUUGCUUGACCUUUCCAUGUUCUGCAUGUACUCAACAUUGUAGAUGUGUGCCCUACACAACAACAUUGUGGAUACUGGGUGAAAACAUCCUAUCAAAUGAAGCAAAGGAAGUGGCUGACAAUCAAUAUAAGCCCAGGGUAAGGCUAAGAUGGAAGAGAGCAAACAUCUCCAACACAAUGCAAGGAUUACCUUAUGGCAUCCAAUUGUUUUCCUCCCUAUUCCCUUUCUCAAAUAUUCCUGAAGCCUUGGCAGCAGAUGCUGAUGCCAGUUAAUGACUUCCUCAAAUAUUCCUGCUUGGCAGGUAACAAUUUCUUCCAUCGUUUAAUGUUAUUU